AAAGAAAUAAUUAAGAAAGCUUCUAACUUUCAUAAAAGCAUUAAAUUGUUUAU
rnacentral:tRNA from 2 species